UACGUAGGGGGCAAGCGUUGUCCGGAUUAUUGGGCGUAAAGAGCGUGUAGGCGGCCAUGUAGGUCCGUUGUGAAAACUCGAGGCUCAACCUCGAGACGCCGAUGGAAACCAUGUGGCUAGAGUCCGGAAGAGGAGAGUGGAAUUCCUGGUGUAGCGGUGAAAUGCGCAGAUAUCAGGAGGAACACCAACGGCGAAGGCAGCUCGCUGGGACGGUAACUGACGCUAAGGCGCGAAAGCGUGGGGAGCGAACAGG
rnacentral:rRNA from 1 species